UUCUCUAUGCUUAUCCUGAUAAUCAGUAAUUCUCAACAUCUAUUUAUAAAAAUGAAAGAAGCAUUCAAACAGGAACCUUGCCCUCUCUCUAAUUUCUCCCAAAAGCCAGAAAAACAUCAAAUAAAAAAAAAAUAAAGAAUGAAGGAAUAAGUAUUGAUUACAAUGAAUCAUCCGAUGAACCGAGCA